AUUGAACGCUGGCGGCAGGCCUAACACAUGCAAGUCGAGCGGAUGAGAGGAGCUUGCUCCAUGAUUCAGCGGCGGACGGGUGAGUAAUGCCUAGGAAUCUGCCAGGUAGUGGGGGACAACGUUUCGAAAGGAACGCUAAUACCGCAUACGUCCUACGGGAGAAAGUGGGGGAUCUUCGGACCUCACGCUAUCAGAUGAGCCUAGGUCGGAUUAGCUAGUUGGUGAGGUAAAGGCUCACCAAGGCGACGAUCCGUAACUGGUCUGAGAGGAUGAUCAGUCACACUGGAACUGAGACACGGUCCAGACUCCUACGGGAGGCAGCAGUGGGGAAUAUUGGACAAUGGGCGAAAGCCUGAUCCAGCCAUGCCGCGUGUGUGAAGAAGGUCUUCGGAUUGUAAAGCACUUUAGGUUGGGAGGAAGGGCAGUAAGUUAAUACCUUGCUGUUUUGACGUUACCAACAGAAUAAGCACCGGCUAACUUCGUGCCAGCCGCCGCGGUAAAAC
rnacentral:rRNA from 1 species